AGAGUUUGAUCAUGGCUCAGAUUGAACGCUGGCGGCAGGCUUAACACAUGCAAGUCGAGCGGAGACUUCGGUCUUAGCGGCGAACGGGUGAGUAACACGUUGGAACCUGCCCCAAAGUGAGGAAUAAGCCACCGAAAGGUGGUCUAAUACUUCAUAAUAUCCAUCUCGUAUGGAUUAAAGCUUUAUGCGCUUUGGGAGGGGCCUGCGUAACAUUAGCUUGUUGGUGAGGUAAAAGCUCACCAAGGCUUCGAUGUUUAACUGGUUUGAGAGGAUGACCAGUCACACUGGGACUGAGAUACGGCCCAGACUCCUACGGGAGGCAGCAGUAAGGAAUCUUCCACAAUGGGGGCAACCCUGAUGGAGCAAUACCGCGUGCAGGAUGAAGCGUUUCGGCGUGUAAACUGCUUUUAUCACCGAAGAUUAUGACUGUAGGUGAAGAAUAAGGACCGGCUAACUACGUG
rnacentral:rRNA from 1 species